GAUCCUGGCUCAGGAUGAACGCUAGCGGGAGGCCUAAUACAUGCAAGUCGAGCGGUCAGCAAUGAUAGCGGCAGACGGGUGCGUAACGCGUAUGAAACUUGCCCCACACAGGAGGAUAGCCUUGGGAAACUGAGAGUAACCCUCCAUAGUCUUGAGUUGCCGCAUGGUAGCUUAAGUAAAACUUCGGUGGUGUGGGAUAGUCGUGCGUCCGAUUAGGUAGUUGGUAGUGUAAUGGACUACCAAGCCGACGAUCGGUAGCUGGUCUGAGAGGAUGAUCAGCCACACGGGCACUGAGACACGGGCCCGACUCCUACGGGAGGCAGCAGUAAGGAAUAUUGGACAAUGGACGGAAGUCUGAUCCAGCCAUCCCGCGUGGAGGAAUAAGGCCCUAUGGGUUGUAAUCUCCUUUAGCAGGGGAAUAAAAAGGUCAUUUAUGAUCAAUUGAAGGUACCCUGAGAAUAAGCACCGGCUAACUCCGUG
rnacentral:rRNA from 1 species